rnacentral:rRNA from 1 species
UACGUAGGGGGGCAAGCAUUGUCCGGAUUUAUUGGGCGUAAAGAGCGUGUAGGCGGCCAGACAGGUCUGCUGUGAAAACUCGAGGCUCAACCUCGAGACGCCGGUGGAAACCGUUUGGCUAGAGUCCGGAAGAGGAGAGUGGAAUUCCUGGUGUAGCGGUGAAAUGCGCAGAUAUCAGGAAGAACACCCGUGGCUAAGGCGGCUCUCUAGUACGGUACUGACGCUGAGACGCGAAAGCGUGGGGAGCGAACAGG